GUCUUCGCGAGAAGUUGUCUGAAGGAAGCCCGAGCGCAAGGCUGUGAGUCAAGCCUGCCCCGGACCUGAUCCGGGGAACAGAAAUGGCAUAUAAGGCCCAGUCUCCGGGGAAGUCAGCACGACAUGACAACGCCCUGAGUUCAGGGUUUAGUAUGAAUUGCGUACUAACCAUGCCCCGGAUGUCGGGCGGGAUCAGAA
rnacentral:ncRNA from 1 species